rnacentral:rRNA from 1 species
CAGUAGCCGCGGGAACACGAGGGGGGCAAGCGUUGUUCGGAAUUAUUGGGCGUAAAGGGCGCGUAGGCGGUUUGGCAAGUUUGGUGUGAAAUCUUCGGGCUCAACUCGAAGUCUGCAUCGAAAACUGCCGGGCUUGAGUAUGGGAGAGGUGAGUGGAAUUUCCUGUGUAGCGGUGAAAUGCGUAGAUAUAGGAAGGAACAUCAGUGGCGAAGGCGACCACCUGGACUGAUACUGACACUGAGGUGCGAAAGCGUUGGGAGCAAACAGGAUUAGAUACCCCCGUAGUCCCUGUCUCUUAUAC